CUAGAAAGGUAACCAUGGCUCACAGCCAGCCACCAGCAGCACCAAUUUAACUAACAAACCCUCCUGCAGAAUCCCUGUCCUGUGAAGUUCCAUGUGGUACUUGAAACACCCUGAACUCAGGUUCUGAUACAUGCUAAGCAAGUGUUCCACAACUGAGCCACACCACAGUACUCUUCCUGGUAAGCUUUGGGAAAGAAGGAAGAUUCUUAACACCCCAGGCUGUCACUAAAUUAUUCUCAGAGGCUCCUCCCUCUUUCUUCCACUCCAUUUCAGGAUAUUCCCCUGAAUGUCUGAAUGAUAUUCAUUCCAAAAAAGCACUUCAAGCCAUUGAACAGAUUAUUAACAUGGUAAAAAACAAUAUUCCAUGAAGCCAGUUGGGAUACCAGAACCUCUAUUUUUCUCACCUUUCUGUGCCCCUUGCUGGUCUUGUUGAGUCUUGGCUCACUGCAAGGCAGAGCCACUCACAAGCUAUGUGGGAACCACAGUGCUCACAGGAUUCCAGCCACAUCAAAAUAAAAGGCAAGGAACUCACUUCUCUGAUUCAAAUGAACUACAAACUGGCCUGUCAGGAAUGUGUUCCUUCUAAUAGGAACAGUUUUCCUAGCAGAGCAAGAGUACAUUAGAUACAGAUAGUGAAAGAGAAAGACAAUUACCAAGUGGUGCUACUGAAGGCCAACUCAGACUUCUAAUCUUAUCCCAGUACAGAGCAUCAGGGUAAAUGAAGGCUGAUGACUACAGUUUCACAGAGCUGGAGGCCAUUUAAGGGGUGAAGACAUGGCAGCUGAGAGGCUCCAGAGAUCUGAUGUAGGGUGUAGGGCCACACAGGCAUCUACGACUCCAAACACUAUAUUCCUUACAGGAUGUCACACGUGGAACUACUGAAGGCUCUUACCAAAAUGUCUUCAGAUUCGUGACUGUCGCUGACUGAUAGUCCAUUUAACUGCUGCUGUAAGUGUCCCACAGCCUGAGGCAGGUCUCGUGCUGGGAUGAACCAGUCCUGGUCUUCUUCAUCCAGCAUCUCCUGGAAGCAGCGGUCCAAGAAGUCUUGCUCCUGCAGCUCUUCCUCUACCUGCCAAGAGAGGGGAAUAUUCAGAGAUAACAUGUGAUCAGCCAGCUUCUUGUUCCUGCUGCCAAUGCUUAUCUGCUGCUCAGCCCAGUUCCCCUAGAACUGCACGCUAAAAUAAACCUUUUUCUUCCCUAA